rnacentral:siRNA from 1 species
AUCAUAGGGGAACUUUUUUGUAGA